rnacentral:ncRNA from 1 species
AAAAAAGCGCAGAAGAGGAGUAUUAAGAGUCCAGCGUUAUCAAGAGAACUGCCGGUUGGUGCAAGGCAGCAGACGAAGACUCCCAACUCGCCUCAGAGUUCUUUUGCUGAACAGAUCAUGUGGAUAGAGAAGAUACGGGAUACAAGGUAUUUAUUCGGAAUCAUGAUAACAUAGGCAGAAGCGGGAACUUCCCGUUACAGAAGAUCAAUGAGUGCAUCUGACAGAUGAUGUCGGGUGAAAAAGAGUGGUACCACGGAAUAUGAGCCUUUUUCGUCUCUUAU